rnacentral:rRNA from 1 species
AUUGAACGCUGGCGGCAUGCUUUACACAUGCAAGUCGAACGGCAGCGCGGGCUUCGGCCUGGCGGCGAGUGGCGAACGGGUGAGUAAUGCAUCGGAACGUGCCCAGUAGUGGGGGAUAGCCCGGCGAAAGCCGGAUUAAUACCGCAUACGACCUGAGGGUGAAAGCGGGGGACCGUAAGGCCUCGCGCUAUUGGAGCGGCCGAUGUCGGAUUAGCUAGUUGGUGGGGUAAAGGCUUACCAAGGCGACGAUCCGUAGCUGGUCUGAGAGGACGACCAGCCACACUGGGACUGAGACACGGCCCAGACUCCUACGGGAGGCAGCAGUGGGGAAUGUUGGACAAUGGGGGCAACCCUGAUCCAGCCAUGCCGCGUGCGGGAAGAAGGCCUUCGGGUUGUAAACCGCUUUUGUUCGGGAAGAAAUCCUCUGGGCUAAUACCCCGGGGGGAUGACGGUACCGGAAGAAUAAGCACCGGCUAACUACGUG